rnacentral:tRNA from 1 species
GGUCGUGGCUCAGUAGUAGAGCACUUGCCUAGCACAUGUGAGGCCCUGGGUUCGAUCCUCAACACCA